GGGGAAUAUUGCACAAUGGAGGGAACUCUGAUGCAGCGACGCCGCGUGAACGAAGAAGGCUUUCGAGUCGUAAAGUUCUUUUAUAUGGGAAGAUAAUGACGGUACCAUAAGAAAAAGCCCCGGCUAACUACGUGCCAGCAGCCGCGGUAAUACGUAGGGGGCUAGCGUUGUCCGGAAUCACUGGGCGUAAAGGGUUCGCAGGCGGAAAUGCAAGUCAGGUGUAAAAGGCAGUAGCUUAACUACUGUAAGCAUUUGAAACUGCAUAUCUUGAGAAGAGUAGAGGUAAGUGGAAUUUUUAGUGUAGCGGUGAAAUGCGUAGAUAUUAAAAAGAAUACCGGUGGCGAAGGCGACUUACUGGGCUCAUUCUGACGCUGAGGAACGAAAGCGUGGGUAGCAAAC
rnacentral:rRNA from 1 species